GACAGAGGUUGCAAGCGUUGUUCGGAAUUACUGGGCAUAAAGCGCACGUAGGCGGUCCGCUAAGUCAUGUGUGAAAUCCCCCGGCUCAACCGGGGAAUGGCGCCUGAUACUGGCGGACUCGAGAUCGGUAGGGGUGAGUGGAACUCCAGGUGGAGCGGUGAAAUGCGUAGAUAUCUGGAGGAAUACCGGUGGCGAAAGCGACUCACUGGCCGACACUGACGCUGAGGUGCGAAAGCUAGGGUAGCAAACGGG
rnacentral:rRNA from 1 species